rnacentral:rRNA from 1 species
AUUGAACGCUGGCGGCAGGCCUAACACAUGCAAGUCGAACGAGUGGCGGACGGGUGAGUAAUGUCUGGGAACCUGCCCGAUGGAGGGGGAUAACUACUGGAAACGGUAGCUAAUACCGCAUACCAUCGGAUGUGCCCAUCUUGGAUUAGCUUGUAGGUGAGGUAACGGCUCACCUAGGCGACGAUCCCUAGCUGGUCUGAGAGGAUGACCAGCCACGUUGGGACUGAGACACGGGCCAAGCUCCGACGGGAGGCAGCAGUGGGGAAUAUUGCACAAUGGGCGCAAGCCGGAUGCAGCCAUGCCGCGUGUAUGAAGAAGGCCUUCGGGUUGUAAAGUACGUUCAGCGGGGAGGCGGUACCCGAAGAAGAAGCACCGGCUAACUCCGUGCCAGCAGCCGCGGUAAUAG